rnacentral:rRNA from 1 species
UACAGAGGGGGCAAGCGUUGUUCGGAAUUACUGGGCGUAAAGGGCGCGUAGGCGGCCCGCUAAGUCGAACGUGAAAUCCCCGAGCUCAACUCGGGAACUGCGUCCGAUACUGGCGGGCUUGAAUCCGGGAGAGGGAUGCGGAAUUCCAGGUGUAGCGGUGAAAUGCGUAGAUAUCUGGAGGAACACCGGUGGCGAAGGCGGCAUCCUGGACCGGCAUUGACGCUGAGGCGCGAAGGCUAGGGGAGCAAACGGG